rnacentral:rRNA from 1 species
CCUACGGGGGGCAGCAGUGAGGAAUAUUGGUCAAUGGGCGGUAGCCUGAACCAGCCAAGUAGCGUGAAGGAUGAAGGUUCUAUGGAUUGUAAACUUCUUUUAUAAAGGAAUAAAGUGAGGCACGUGUGCCUUUUUGUAUGUACUUUAUGAAUAAGGAUCGGCUAACUCCGUGCCAGCAGCCGCGGUAAUACGUAGGUGGCGAGCGUUAUCCGGAAUGAUUGGGCGUAAAGGGUGCGUAGGCGGCCUGCUAAGUCUGGAGUGAAAGGUACCGGCUCAACCGGUACAGGCUCUGGAAACCGGCGGGG